GGCUUUCGGUGUGAUAAUGAUCACCGUAUGCUGAAGUGCAUAACUGUAAAGUUCCGUGCCUCUAAUAUUGUCGAUCCUAUCCUUAUAGGAUGGAUCUUCCUUAUAUGACAUUUUGACCUCAAAUCAGGUAGGACUACCCGCUGAACUUAAGCAUAUCAAUAAGCGGAGGAAAAGAAACUAACAAGGAUUCCCCUAGUAACUGCGAGUGAACCGGGAAAAGCUCAUAAUUUUGAAUACUGGCAGUCCUUUGAGGUUGUCCGAAUUGUAUUUAGAGAAGUGUUUUUCCG
rnacentral:rRNA from 1 species